rnacentral:lncRNA from 1 species
AUGUCACCUCCCUCACUUGUAAGAGAUGUCUGUGACUGAACAGGUUUCACUAUUAACUAGGCUCUCACAGAACUUCUCCAGAGGACUGCCAGGCACAGUACUUCUCUUUGAGAGACUCUGCUUUACUACAGGUUGCUUCAUUCCUUUUCACUUUGGAAAUCUACUGAAGGAAUUAUAAAGAAUCUCACAGUAAUUUCAGUCCAAUUGGCAGUAGUUUAUGCACAGAAUGCUACAUCUACCCAGACAAAUGAUGGCUUGGUAGCAAAGAGGCUACGAGAGCUGUGAAGAUGUGGCAGCACAGAUCCGAGCAUGAACUGUACAAACCCUCUGGGCACCUGGCACAGUACUGCAGUUGCUGGCCUACAAAGGAACUGUGCCUGCUGCAUUUUUGCUGUUACCUGUGUAGCUAAAUUAAAGAUAGCGUGUACAUGCCCC